CGGGGGUGGCGAGCGUUACUCGGAUUUAUUGGGUGUAAAGGGCAGGUAGGUGUCCUAUCAAGUUAGAAGUGAAAUCCUGUGGCUUAACCACAGAACUGCUUCUAAAACUGAUGGGAUUGAGGCUAGAAGAGGAGAGCGGAAUUCCCGGUGUAAGGGUGAAAUCUGUAGAUAUCGGGAGGAACACCAGUAGCGAAAGCGGCUCUCUGGUCUGGCCCUGACGCUGAACUGCGAAAGCUAGGGGAGCAAACAGGAUUAGAUACCCUGGUAGUCCUAGCCGUAAACUAUGAGCACUAGGUGUUGGGGGUAACCCUUCAGCGCCGUAAGAUAACUCGUUAAGUUGCUCCACCUGGGGACUACGACCGCAAGGUUUAAAACUCAAAGGAAUUGACGGGGGCCCCCCACAAGCGGUGGAACAUGUUGGUUCAAUUCGACGCUACCCCGAAGAAACCUCCCCCAGGCUUUGACAUGUUUUGAAGUUUUUUGAAACUUGAAAAAAGGAACGAACUUGUUCAAUUUUCAGGAACCCUGCACAG
rnacentral:rRNA from 1 species